GACGAACGCUGGCGGCGUGCUUAACACAUGCAAGUCGAACGGAAAGGCCCUGCUUUUGUGGGGUGCUCGAGUGGCGAACGGGUGAGUAACACGUGAGUAACCUGCCCUUGACUUUGGGAUAACUUCAGGAAACUGGGGCUAAUACCGGAUAGGAGCUCCUGCUGCAUGGUGGGGGUUGGAAAGUUUCGGCGGUUGGGGAUGGACUCGCGGCUUAUCAGCUUGUUGGUGGGGUAAUGGCUUACCAAGGCUUUGACGGGUAGCCGGCCUGGGAGGGUGACCGGCCACAUUGGGACUGAGAUACGGCCCAGACUCCUACGGGAGGCAGCAGUGGGGAAUAUUGCACAAUGGGCGGAAGCCUGAUGCAGCAACGCCGCGUGCGGGAUGACGGCCUUCGGGUUGUAAACCGCUUUCGCCUGUGACGAAGCGUGAGUGACGGUAAUGGGUAAAGAAGCACCGGCUAACUACGUG
rnacentral:rRNA from 1 species